GAUGAACGCUGGCGGCGUGCUUAACACAUGCAAGUCGAACGAAGCACCUUAUUCUGAUUUCUUCGGAAUGAAAAAUUUGGUGACUGAGUGGCGGACGGGUGAGUAACGCGUGGGUAACCUGCCUCAUACAGAGGGAUAACAGUUAGAAAUGACUGCUAAUACCGCAUAAGACCACAGCACCGCAUGGUGCAGGGGUAAAAACUCCGGUGGUAUGAGAUGGACCCGCGGCUGAUUAGGUAGUUGGUGGGGUAACGGCCUACCAAGCCGACGAUCAGUAGCCGACCUGAGAGGGUGACCGGCCACAUUGGGACUGAGACACGGCCCAAACUCCUACGGGAGGCAGCAGUGGGGAAUAUUGCACAAUGGGGGAAACCCUGAUGCAGCGACGCCGCGUGAGCGAUGAAGUAUUUCGGUAUGUAAAGCUCUAUCUGCAGGGAAGAAAAUGACGGUACCUGACUAAGAAGCACCGGCUAAAUACGUGCCAGCCGCCGCUGUAAAAC
rnacentral:rRNA from 1 species